AUCCAGCUGAUGAGUCCCGAAUAGGACGAAACGCGCAUCCUGGAU
rnacentral:hammerhead_ribozyme from 1 species